UUACGGCCAUAUCAUAUUGAAACACCGGUUCUCGUAUGAUCACUAACGUUAAGCAACGUCGAGCCUGGUCAGUACGUAGAUGGGUGACUGCUUAGGAAUACCAGGCGCUGUAC